UUUAGUAGUUCAAUUGUAAAAAACAUUUCUAUUUCCUUCCUCUUUUGUAUUUAUAGGGCAACAAAUCCAGAAUCAUAAAUUAUGGGUAUCUCGAAGACGCUUCUUAUAGUAGCAAAAACCCAGACCAUUAGCUAUCAAGAAGUUAGUCAAGUAAGUUCUAUUUCCUGUCCUGUUUCUUAGUCCAGGUUUUAAGGGUCAUUUACUGUUAUAUAUUCUUACUUUGUACUUAUUCGUGGCAAUCUACUAGUGCAUAACUUGUAAAGAUUGUAGAGGAAGAAACAGAAAACCUAGAAAAUUCAUAUAGUCCUGCCAAAUGCUACAUCCGCAAAUAUGUUCUUUUCUUUUUUUU
rnacentral:lncRNA from 1 species